UACGUAGGUGGCAAGCGUUGUCCGGAGUUACUGGGUGUAAAGGGCGUGUAGGCGGGAAAGUAAGUCAGAUGUGAAAUUCCAUGGCUCAACUGUGGCGCUGCAUCUGAAACUAUUUUUCUUGAGUGCUGGAGAGGAAAGCGGAAUUCCUAGUGUAGCGGUGAAAUGCGUAGAUAUCAGGAGGAACACCUGUGGCGAAAGCAGCUCGCUGGGACGGUACUGACGCUGAGGCGCGAAAGCGUGGGGAGCGAACAGG
rnacentral:rRNA from 1 species